GUAGGAGACAAACGUUAUCCGGAGUUACUGGGCGUAAAGGGCGUGCAGGUGGUCUGUUAAGUCUGGCGUGAAAGCUCCUGGCUAAACCGGGAGAGGUCGUUGGAUACUGGCGGACUAGAGGACGGUAGAGGCGUGUGGAAUUCCGGGUGUAGUGGUGAAAUGCGUAGAGAUCCGGAGGAACACCAGUGGCGAAGGCGACACGCUGGGCCGUACCUGACACUGAUACGCGACAGCAUGGGGAGCGAACGGGAUUAGAAACCCCGGUAGUCCAUGCCGUAAACGAUGCCAGCUAGAUGUUCAAUUUCCGCAAGGGAAUGGGGUAUCGAAGCCAACGCGGUAAGCUGGCCGCCUGGGGAGUACGGUCGCAAGGCUAAA
rnacentral:rRNA from 1 species